CAGCAGCCGCGGGAAUACAGAGGGUGCGAGCGUUAAUCGGAUUUACUGGGCGUAAAGCGUGCGUAGGCGGCUUCUUAAGUCGGAUGUGAAAUCCCUGAGCUUAACUUAGGAAUUGCAUUUGAUACUGGGAAGCUAGAGUAUGGGAGAGGAUGGUAGAAUUCCAGGUGUAGCGGUGAAAUGCGUAGAGAUCUGGAGGAAUACCGAUGGCGAAGGCAGCCAUCUGGCCUAAUACUGACGCUGAGGUACGAAAGCAUGGGGAGCAAACAGGAUUAGAUACCCGCGUAGUCCCUGUCUCUUAUAC
rnacentral:rRNA from 1 species